rnacentral:rRNA from 1 species
CCUGGUGAGGAAAGCCGGAAGGGGCCAGAGGAGGGGCGUGCGGCCGAUUAGCUGGUUGGUGGGGUAACGGCCUACCAAGGCAACGAUCGGUAGCUGGUCUGAGAGGAUGGUCAGCCACACUGGGACUGAGACACGGCCCAGACUCCUACGGGAGGCAGCGGCAGGGAAUCUUGCGCAAUGGGCGAAAGCCUGACGCAGCAACGCCGCGUGGGUGAUGAAGGCCUUCGGGUUGUAAAGCCCUUUUCUGUGGGACGAUAGUGACGGUACCGCAGGAAGAAGCCACGGCUAACUACGUGCCAGCAGCCGCGGUAAUACGUAGGUGGCAAGCGUUGUCCGGAAUUAUUGGGCGUAAAGGGCGCGCAGGCGGUGCGCUAAGUCCAUGGUGAAAGCGCCCGGCUCAACUGGGCGAGUGCCAAGGAGACUGACGUGCUGGAGGGGAGCAGAGGCGAGUGGAAUUCCGGGUGUAGUGGUGAAAUGCGUAGAGAUCCGGAGGAACACCAGUGGCGAAGGCGGCUCGCUGGGCUCUACCUGACGCUGAGGCGCGAAAGCGUGGGGAGCGAACCGGAUUAGAUACCCGGGUAGUCCACGCGGUAAACGAUGGACACUAGGUGUGGGGGGUAUCGACCCCCUCCGUGCCGAAGCUAACGCGGUAAGUGUCCCGCCUGGGGAGUACGGCCGCAAGGCUAAAACUCAAAGGAAUUGACGGAAUCGAAUU